AAUCCACCACCAGCAGCAGUAAGGACUGCCGCAUCCUCUCCUAUAUCUCGAUCCGCUAAUCUCUCCGCACCCUUCUCUGCCUCGCAGCGCAACCCGCCUUCUCAAUCACCUUCUGCCGGUCCACGUACGCCCUGCCGGCUGAUCUACCGAUGCGCUGCGCCGUGCCGGAGAAGUCGCGGGCGGUACCAGCUUUCGCAUCGCCCAUGUAGAAGGUGAGAGGAGCCCCGAUCUGAACAUGGGAAGCCAGAUUUGAAGUUCUUUUUUUGCCUUUCGUGGAUUGGUGGAUUCAAAGCAAUGGACACCAUGCCUCAACUAGCAACUGCCGCAUCCAAGAGGAAACCCUCCCCGGCGGCAGCGACGGCAAGACGCGGAAGGAAGCGGUGGACGCACGAGUGGCUGUACGAGGCGAGGCCAGUGAUGGAUAGGUGGCAGCACACCGUUCAUCCUCUUUUAGUUGUCUAUGAUGUUAUACGUAGAUUAUACACAUUGCGUUCUAGCUGAUUACUUCGCACACAUGCAACGAUCUGAAGGUAUAUGCAUAUUUAUGUUUCUCAGAGUUAUGUUACCCAAUCCAUAGUAUUACUCAUAAGAGGGAGCUUUCUGAUGAAACUACAACUAAACACUACAGAGUCUUUAGAAGAUUAGGCACAAUCAAGACUUGUGGUCAAGGUGGUGAUGUUUGAGUUGCAGCUUGGUAGUUUUUUCCAUUCGCACAAGAAUCAGAGAUGGUAGCAUAUAUUUAAAAGCUUUAACCAGUUGGUUUGAUGGGUAAUUGACCAUAAUAUCCUCUGUUCCAAUUUUUUGUCUGU